CCUGCGAUUCAGAACAAGUGUGACUUGGUAGGUGGCUCUGUCGGCCCUGUUCACAUAAGGAAUCUCACUGGCAUCAAUAUAGACGUAUCCUCCCCAAGUUUAUGUGGGACAUUCACUCUCCCACUCAGAAAGGUGGUGGACUGGGAAGACAGUCAAGGUGCAGGGUGUUGGGAAGUGAAGGAGCUAGGGACACUGACUAUCGCAAGAAGAGUGAAUGCCCUCUCAUUGUGUGUUCUGGAUUGCUGGUGCUCUGGCUGGGGCUAGGUCCAUAGAUGGUGACAUGUUUAAAAGGUGAUGAGGCAGAUCUUGUCAUAAGUAUUUUGGGGUACCAAGGAGACCCUAAAUCUCAAAUAUCAUUUAAGGCAAAGAAUGGCUAAGUCUUAACAGAGACAAAGACAACACAAAGAUACAGACACAUCCUCCAGGUGAGGGAGACCAGAAGCACGGGGUCAUAAUCCAAGGACUCACAGUCAGAAUGCUGGUGAAAUAAGGCAGGGAACAAAGAAAACUGUCAUAAGCUCUCACUUGGUGACAGAUCCAUACAUCACAGGCACAGGUGAGAGUGCAGAAGCCAGACACGAUUACGGAUCAGACACACAGGUACGUUCUGUCAGACCCAGAAGGGCUUAUAAGAUUGGUCCAUGGCCUUCUGACCAAGGCAAUGGGGACACCACUGACAGGGCAUGUCUCAUGACUGUAUGACCCCCUUUUGUCCCCAGUACAGUGACCUCCAUCCAGGGCAAGCCCCUAGGAAAGACUGCCCCUCCCUGGGCUGGCUGGAGAAGGGUGGAGUUAAGCCAGUUUUUGAUCCACUCUGCCAGAGGGCAUGAUCAUCCACAUCCUUGGUUAAAGUUCUGGAAUUCCAUGGAGGCUUAAUCGAUGUGGGUACUCUACAGAUGGAUCUGGGGCGUUUCCUGUCAUCCAGAGCUGUCUGCAAACCAGGGUGCUCAGAAGUGUUUCGUUUUGCGGUGCUCAGGGUCACGAUGAGUCGAGGUGGAAUCCACCGCACGCCACCACAGCCACACGUCGUCGGACUGCUCCACUGCUGCUUCCGUGCGUGUCGAAGGUGGAGCCACAUAAAUCCUGAGCUGCUCAGACAUCUCCGUCCACAGAGGUAGUGAGUUUGGUUCCUGCGUUUUCCGUCUGGCCGGGUUCAUGAGUGUAGCCUUCCUUUGUGCUGUUGAGGAGGAUCUCUGUCGUGAGUAAGUCAUUGGUCUUUCACAGUUCUACCAUGUGGUCCCGGGCUGUUUCUCAGCUCCAGAUCCUUCUUCUUGGUCUCACUUUCCAAUUCCAGACUCCAUUGAAGACCCGUGCACCGUGACGGCACGUGUGACGCAGUUCACGGUGAAGAAGUGAAAAGCCAUCUCCACCUGGUUCAUCAGUGGCUUUAGUGGCUGACCCUCUAUGAGAUGGAUUGACACUGGCUGCCACAGGGGCGCACACACCACACGUGAGGAUGAUGUAGGACCAACCUCUGCUGUACCUGGGGUCCUUCAGUGAGCUGACCCUCACUUGCCGCCACCGACCACCACCAAAUAUUAGUAUAAUAUCAAUAUAUUUGUAACAUAACAGCGAUUUACACUGGGCAA